GGGCUCAGUGGUAGAGCAUCUACUUUGCAUGCAAUUCAGGAAGGCCCAGAUUCAAUUCCUGGCAUCUGCA
rnacentral:tRNA from 1 species